rnacentral:misc_RNA from 1 species
UGUCGAGUGCUUCCUGGUGUGAGGUUCUGUGGGUGGUCCCUCUAUUAGGUAGUCUAGCUCUAUUUAUCAGGCCAGCUAUUUAAAGACGUCUAGGGCAGGAACAAGUUAAUAGCUAGGUCUGGGUUGCUAAAGGGUAGGUCAGUAUUUACUUUCUUGUGUGCAUGUUAGCCACAUAACUUAAUGAUACAAAAGUCUUUUUAGUAAGCUGGACCGUUUGUACCUUAGUUUUUGAAAUUCAUUAUAGAGAUGACUUACUUAGGAAAAUGGCUGCAUCUGUAUCUCCCCUUCCUUUUGUAGUUGGCAAUUUAAUAAACUGCGAUAAAUGCUUCAGAUAGUGUCAAGUUUCCCUGUGUCACAGUAUAGUUAAGCAGAACAUGGUAAAAGGGAG